GGAGGGAAAGGGCAUUUAUCAUUUUUAUGUGGCAUUUCAAAGCAGGAGACUCCUCUCCUUGGCCAGGAGACAAAGGCCCGCGCUUGGGAUUAAUGGAAGAACCCCAUUUAAUCAUUAACAAUGCUAAAGUGCUUAAAAGGCAGCAAUGGACUCCUCGCUCAGCCCCUUGGUGCUGGGGAUGCCCUGAGGGUCCGGUGGGAUCAACUCAGGUCCUGGGCAGGAGGCUUUCUGCUUAAGCCUGAGGGGGCGGGUGGGUGUCACCCAAGUGACACCAAGCUGUGUUACCUAGCUCCCUUUGUCCUGCGAUGGUCACAGCACCUGCUCACUUUCUAGGCUAGCCAUGAAGUCCAAAAGGGUAGACAGCCCAAAGCCUAGUGUGCAGCUCGUGGUGUGACGGGAAGCCCCUGGCAAAGUCCCCAAAGCCAGUUCUUCACCUGUCCACAGCCACUGGGACAGGACAUGUCACCAGACUUAUCCCCAGCAGGGAGAGGCUCCACUCUGUGGUUCCUCUGUGCCACAGCUAUCCCAGAGAGAAAGUGCUUCCUGCUGCAUUUUCCCAGGUGUCUGGACAAAGACAGCCAGCAGUGCCUGUGGAGAAAUCCACCUCCUCUGCCGUCCUCCAGGCCAUCUGACCAGGAGGAGCUGAGAGCUGGGCAAUGCUGGGAACGGAAUCCAAAGUCUCAUGAGUGCCAGGCAAGAACUCUACCACAGAGUACAUCUCCGGGCUUCAUUUAAUCUUGACAAUAAGCCUUAUUUUGGAAAUGAGGAUACUGGAGUUUAGGGACAUUAAGUAACUUACAGAAGACGAAGCAGCUAGUUAUGAAAAAGCAGAUUAAAACCUCACUCCAGCUGGGGAUGUAGCUCAACAAGCAAGAAGAAUGUUCGCCUGGCAUGCACGAAGCCCUGGGUUCAAUCCCCAAUACUCCAUAAACCAGGCUUAUGUGCAGGUCUGGCUUCAAUCUCCAGAACCUCAGGGGGAAGGGAACAGUUCAGUGCUUGUCCUGUUUCACAUGUCCUUUCAGUCUGCACUCUUGGCACUUUGGGGACUUACUGAUGGCAGAGGGACCAAGUCCCAAAGACAGAAAGUACCCUGUGUGCCUGCAGCCUUUCAUGACUGAGCCACCAGUUCAAGGCCUCUUUAUGGAGCUCUUCUUCUGCCUUCAGGCUGCGGUUCUCCCACCCAUUUCACUCCAGAGCCGUGGGACUGAACAUGCCAGUAUGGUAAACUACAUACCCAGAGCCAGGAAAACAAUUCCUGCUUGCCCAUCUUGCCCCAGCUUAGCCCAGCAGGUCUGCUGGCUCCCUUAGAAACCACAGGGAAAGCUCCUGUACCGUCUCCUCCCGGAUCACUGUCCAUUCUAGCUAGUGAAGCCCAAGGGCCAGCAUGAAAUCAGCUCUGCUCUGCCACCAUGAUGGUCCCAGCAGCAACUUCUGUGGCACCGACAGGCUGAGUAGCUGGGCUGAAGCUGAUGACGGGUGCCCUGUCUCCUCAUGCCAUGCCCACCAUUUGAGUGGAGCUGGUGGCUUAGUUUCUUCCAAAGUCUAAAGUGGCCUAAAACUGCCUGUUUGCACAUGGGCCUAUAUACACAGGCCCAUGUACAUAGGCACGCACAUGUGUGCACAGACGUACACAUACAUGGGCAUGCACACACACACACACACACACAUACACACACACACACACACACACACACACACACACACACACGCGGAAAAAGAAAAUGGGGCUCCAUUCAGUGUCCUCCUGAAGGAAUGAUUGGGGAUAAUGCAGAGGACAGCCUGGCAGACUGUUAGAGAGAGGAGGAAGGGGCUGGGAGGAGGUAGGAGGGGCUUCAGCAGCUCAGCAGGUCACAACUGGCUUGCAGUUUGUUUUUGAAAUUAUGGUCUUAUUUUCCAUGUAGUUAAAUCCUCUCUUUGUGGGAUGUUUUAGGUAUUCAUUUGUAUGACCAUAGGUGCCCUCAAAACCCGGAGCAGCUGUACAGCUCCUGCUCAUUUUGUUCCUUUGAGCUCCUGCUUGAUGCCAGCCCUGUCCCUGCGAACGCUGAUCUAGUCCUCGGAUUUCACCUUUUCCAGGGUGCCCAGUAAGUGGACUGCUGCAGGUGACGGCCCGCUAAGACUGAUUUCUUCCGCUUAGUGCCACACAUCUGAGAUCCAACCAGGUUGCUGCGUAGGUCAGGGAAGGUUCCACUUUACUGAUAAGUCAUGUCUAUUUACUGUUCCCACUUUAGUACCCAGAUUCUCACCGGUUGAAGGAGAUCUGGAUUAUUUUCAGUUUGAAGUCUUUUUGAAUAAAGCUAUAAUUGUCUUUGUGCAGAA